rnacentral:rRNA from 1 species
AGCAGGUUUGUAGCAAUACAGACGCUGGCGACCGGCAAACGGGUGCGGAACACGUACGCAACCUCCCUCUAACUGGAAGAUAGCCCACCGAAAGGUGGAUUAAUACUCCAUAAUAUAUUGAAGUGGCAUCACUUUAAUAUUAAAGCUCCGGCGGUAAGAGAUGGGCGUGCGUCUGAUUAGGUAGUUGGCGGGGUAACGGCCCACCAAGCCUGCGAUCAGUAGCUGAUGUGAGAGC